CUACUACUAUAUAUUGUAUGUACUGUUGUGAUAGUAGUAGUAGUAGGUACUGGGUAGUGGUAGUGGUUAUCAAAGUGGGAGGAAAAUACGAGACGUGAGGGUGCGCAGGGGCUCCGUCACCACCGAGCGACGCAGUGCCGUCGGGACGCUCAACCGGAUAGCGUUGAAAUAAUCGCGAAGUAGAAUUGAAUGUACACUUUAUUAAGCGACAUCUUGGUUGGUUGGUUGGUUGGUUAGUCAGUUACUUGCUAACAAAGUUCAGCUGGAAAAAUAUAACUUGUUCACUAACAGUUCAUUAACAAAAUUGUUAAUUAUUAUUGUUAUCAUAAAUGUGUGAUGGUGUCUAGAAUAUUGUCCUGUCACAGCAGUACGCAUUUAAUAAGUUACUGGUGUGAUGGGACAUUGUCCUGGAUCCAUUGCCAAUCAUCUUAUCUUCAACAAAUCAUCAUACAUACGAUAUAUUGUAUACAUAGUUUAAUGCAUAAACAGGAGUGAUAUAUAUCUGUAUAUUAGUAGUGAUGGUAUAUACAAACAAAAAUAAGUUAACAAUCAUAAUAAUAAAUAAAAUAAAAUAAUAAUAAUUAUCAAGUUUUUCUAUUGAAAAAAAAAAAAGAAAAAAUAAAAAAAAUGUUUAUUUAACGAGUUGGUUGUAAUAAAAGUAUGGAUGAGAGUAAGUGAGAAAAUGAGAGAAUGAUAUAUGUUGUAUAGAAGAAAAAUCCCUUGCGCCACCACCCCAACGGAAAAGUACGACUUUAACCGAGCACGCGCUCCACCCACGUAAAUUAAAUGGAUGGAUGGAUGGAAUAAUAGUGAUAUGAGAGCUAGCAAAAGCAAGGGAAAGCAAAAGAAGGCAAAAGAAAGUAGUAUUCUGAGUUGUGAAAAGGGGGUUGCUAAUGAGGAAUUUUUUUCGUGAGUUGUUACCAUCAAGUAGGAGGUAUGGUAUACUUAUAUUUCUACCAAAGUCCCAUUUUUAUUUUUUUAUGUUUUGUCAAAAUAUUUUAACGGUCGAUAAAGGUGUAGCAAACAAACUUCCGGUCGAUAUAUGGGUGCGCCGCUCCCUUAUUAUUAUUAUUAUUACUAUUGUUGCUAUUAUAAUUUAUUUUAUAUAAUAAUAAUAAUAAUAAUAUUUGCGGACUGUGAGAUUUAUAAAUCAGAUGACAUAUAUUAUGUAUAUACUUAUUUGUUUUAUGUAAUUGACUUUGUUAAUGAAUAAAUAAAAAGGAAUAUAUAGCGAAAAAUACAAAGUGAUGAUAAAGUGAUUAAAUAUAUUAAUGAUAAAUAAAUAGUAAAUAAAAAAUAAAAAAUUGAUUAGCCGUGGAUAAACGGGCGAGGCUCCUGAUGGUUGUUGGAGGAUUUAGAAAAGGGGUUGUUUGCUAAAGAGAGAAAGAGAAAGAAAAUUUGUCGAUGGUGGAGAGGGUCGAGAGGGUGAAGUAACAGCACGGGAUAGGAGUGGAAGCAGCAAACCCUUGGUCGUUGGUUGAGGGCACCACCACCAGAUGGCUCCAUCACAUUAACGUGGAAAAAGAUUAUUUUUCAGUGAAAACAAUAAUAUUAUUCAUUUUCUUCAAGUGGAUUUUAUAAAUCAUGAUGCAACACGACAUUCAUGGAAUGAAAACUCUUUUAAGACUUUCAGCACCACCACCAUACCACCACCACCACCACCACCACCACCACCAACAGCAGCAGCAACGAUAGCAGGAGGAGAAAGAGAAGGAGGAGAAGGAGGGGUGAGCAACCAACAAACUAAACUGAGUGACAACGCGCAUGCGAUCCUUGGGCUUCCUUUUCCUUCUUCUUUUUCGCGCAACUAGUUAAAACAAAGGACUAAUGUUAUUAUUAAUAUAUCAUAAAAUAACUCUAAAUAGUUUAUUAAUUUAAUUAAUUUAUUGCUGUUGUUUAAUAAUGAAAAUUCCAACUAAACAGAGAUAGAGUUAGAGCAAGGAAUGUAAUCGGCUAGAGAGGUCGACUGACAAGUCACUGGAGUCUUGGAAACAGGACGUUAUCAGCCAGGUUUAAUCACAGAUUAUCCAUAAACUCUCUCAAGAAUAACGUACUAGCUUUUUUUCCCUUGUUUUUCUUAAAUAAUGUACAUUAAUGGAUAUUUUAUUUUAAUAUCGUUGAAAAACAAAAAAUAUAUACAUAUAUACAAGUGAUUUUACUAUUAUUUUAUAUUAAUAGAUAAACAGAUGCGGAUAGUGACAAUUAAUCAUUAUUGUUAAUUAGUAUCGAUUUUCGAGGUUAGCAUGCAUAAAGAGGAAAGGACAAGGGAAUAGGGUCCGUUAUAGUAUCGCUAAAACCACGAACGGAUGUUGUUACAGCUCAGCAAUGGCGACCAAUUGCUUCAGACAUAUACAAGUAUAGGAUAUAUAUACUACUACUAUUACUACCAGAAACCAGAAAAAGAUACAUACAACGUCGACGACGACAACGACGACAACGACGAUGACGAAGAUGAUGACAUUUCUACCCUUUAGUGUUCUACUAGUAGCAAGUAACAACUUGAUUGUGCUCUCUGGUCGUGAGUAAAGUCCACUACCACCGUAUUCGUCGUAAUCAUCCAAUGAAGUAGUGUACUAUUAACAUUAGUUUUCUCAUUUUUGUUUUUUUUCUCUUAAUUCUCUACCUCCUGGAGUUUAUGUAAUAACGACCGAUGGACUAUGUAUCGCGUCACUAUUAGUAAUAUUUGUAACCAAACAUACAAAUACAACGCAUGUACUCGGCAAGUGCGAUGGCUAAUAUUACAACAACAAUAACAAUCAUUAUAACUAUAUAUGCUACCUAAUCAUAUAGUUUUAUAUUUAAACUGUUACUAUAAAUAUUAAAUAUCAAUAUAUAAAGAGGAUAAGUAAUAGGUAUUUAGAUCGGAAUACUUCAGAGAGUGUUGUACACAACUCUGAUGGUUCUGGUACACUAGUUUUAUAAUAGUUUAAGUAUAUACAGGGACUGGUGCGUGUCGAAAUCUGUUGCUGAAGAUUUAAGGUGUUGAUAACAAUGAUAGGCCACGGCGUCUGGCUUUAGAUCAUUUAUUUCUUGUAUAUACAUUUAAACCCUAUCUUUUAAGUACCUAUAAACUAUUUAUAACGAUUUUUCGUUAUAAAUAACUCAUGUUUUUUAACGGUAAAAUAAUACCACUAAGUUAAUUUAGAUUAUUAUUAUUAUUAUGCCUUAAAGACUGAUCCCAGUAGUAUUUAUAAUUAACAUCAAUAUAUAAAAACUUAAUAUAUGCAAUAAAUAUUAAUAGAGAUUUCAGAUGGCAAUGAAGAGCUCUGGUGAUGGUAAGAGUAAUAUCCCAUGCAACCAUGCUGGAAAAAUCAACAACACGUGCAAACUGCUGGAUACUUGGCUAGUUUCGAGAUUCGUGCGACCGGAUGAUAGAAUUUAAUUCACGCCGGAUAAUGUAGACCACAGAGAAAGAGUAAUUUUAGGGGUUAAAAAAAUAUAAGUACAACAAGGAAAAAGAAAGAAAAAAAGAGAAUGUAAAAAAAUAAUAACAAUAAUAAAUUAAUAAAUAAUGAAAGUAAAAAGUUAUUAUAGAUAGAAACAAUAUAAUAAGAUUAUAAUUAGAUUUAUAGAAGGGGUAGGAAUAUUGUUGGAAAUCUGGAAUUUUGGAUCGCAGAGAAUUUAACUCGGGUAAUCUUCGGCAUUAUAUUAGUGAAUGCCAACUACCAUUAUCAGAGAACUAUUACUAUUGCUAUUACCAUCACCAUCACACAUAUCAUACAAUUCCUAUAUUAUACAAUAACAAUAAAUAAAUAAUAAAUAAACAAAUACGUUUGAAUAAGUUGCGACAGUGAAUUUUAAUUACCUUUAUUCUAACAUAUUUAUAUUUCAUUCAGUUAAAAUCAUAUCACAGUAGAUUAUGCAUUAGUUUUUAAUUUAACGUUGUUUAAUUAUAACGAUAUAAAUAAACUAAAAAAUAUUUUUAAUUAGGCAUUAGCUAUUAUACAUAUAUACUGUAUUAUUUAUAAAAAUAAAUCUAAAAAAACUGACAAAUUACAUUAAUAUUUCUACGACACUCCAUCUCUAAAUAAUAUACUAACUAAGUCAUCAUCAUUUCUUGUUAAUACUAAAAUACUUCCAUCAUAUAUACACUAGCGGGCAGUUUAUCGCUUCUCUACUCUCAGUGAUGAUGCGCCUAAAUUAUCUCAACAUUACUGUCACUGUCACCGUCACUGUCACUGCCAAGCUCACUAUUUAUAUUAUAUAUACUAUAAUAAUUUUUAUUUUUAAUAACUCUCGCUGCUGUUGUAAUAUUUCUCGUGGUCACGAUAGUAGAAAGGAUGAGUUUAUAAUAAUAACGUAUAGUAUUAAAAAGAAAGAAAGAAAAAAAAAAAAAAAGAGUUACAAAGGGCGAGAGUUUCUAGAAUUAGUCUGAAAGAAGAAAAGAAACCGUUCAUACCCUCUUAGUAAGAGGAUGAAGUAUAGGAGAAUCACAUCGCAAGCAGUGCAAAAAAAUUCCAUAAAAGCGAAAGCUUUAAUCAGAAAAACUAAAAAGGACCUAUUUUUCAUUUGUGAGGAGUAAGCUCUAUCAAAAAAGAAACUACAUCGCAGGCUUUCUUUUUUUUUUUAUUAUACAAAAAAGUUGUAUAUGCAUAACACGUAAUUUUUUUUAUCAGGUCAAUUUAAUCAUAAAAUUUAUGUAAAAGGAAAAAAAAAUUAUUAAUUUAAAAAUUGUUAAAGCUCCAUAUCUCUUUCAUGUUGUCCUACUUUCUCAUAAAUUUUUUUAACGGAAUAAUAAUAAUAAUAAUCACAAAAAUAUGAAUAAAAACAAAAAAGAUUAGGAGUUAUGGUGUAAGUUGUGAAUGAAAAUUUGAAAUUGCUCAUGAGCUCGGGAAUUCCCCGAGAAUUCAGAUGAAAAUAAGAGAAGCUUAUCUCUUGGUGCACACUGCUCGUACUGUGGAAAAGCUUUAAGCGUGUAUGGAAUUUAGAAUAUUACCGUUGCGAUAAUAACCCUAAAUAUUUUUUGUGUGCACUACAGAUUUGCUUUAAACUAUUCAAAUAAUUUUUUUUAAAUUUCAAUUAUAAUAAUCUUUUUUAUAUCGUUAAUAUUGUUAUUUUAUUUAAAUAAAAUCAUUUAGCUAUAACGAUGUCUAUAAUUCUGUUAUAAAUACAACCAUUCAUUUUAUAAAUCUAUAUACUUUAUCCAAAGAUAUAUACUCGAUGAAAAUUUAUAAAAUAAAGUGCGCCGGCGCUUAUAUCUGUACAUAACUAUAUAAACUAUAUGUGUGUACGUUAUAAAUGUCGAUUAAACUCAAGUGCACUCACGUUUGUUUGCUCUUAUUAAUGUAAAAAUAAAAGACAUAAAUAUCUACUAUUUUAGAAUCUCGAUAUGACUUGUAAAUAAAUUUUUUAAAUGAGACAAUUAAUAUUCUCUCUCGUGUAUCGUUCUCACUGUCAUCAUUAUUGUUCGAAUUUUUAUUAGAAAUCGCAUGCCUUUUCAUUUUAUAUAAUACUUAUUGAAUAUAUAUGUAUAUAAAAUAAUACUACCAUGUAAACACAAUUUUAAAUAAAAAAAAAAAAAAGUUAAAGUGCCACCUGUUAUUUAUUGAUUCGAGACACGCUAUGCUACUUAGUUAAUUAUUAUUUAAAUAUAUUACUUUCGAAGCAUUAAAAUAGACUCAGACAUAGUAAAAACAAAAAUGGAACAUU